rnacentral:rRNA from 1 species
AUUGAACGCUGGCGGCAUGCUUUACACAUGCAAGUCGAACGGCAGCACGGACUUCGGUCUGGUGGCGAGUGGCGAACGGGUGAGUAAUACAUCGGAACGUGCCCAGUUGUGGGGGAUAACUACUCGAAAGAGUAGCUAAUACCGCAUGAGAACUGAGGUUGAAAGCAGGGGAUCGUAAGACCUUGCGCAACUGGAGCGGCCGAUGGCAGAUUAGGUAGUUGGUGGGAUAAAAGCUUACCAAGCCGACGAUCUGUAGCUGGUCUGAGAGGACGACCAGCCACACUGGGACUGAGACACGGCCCAGACUCCUACGGGAGGCAGCAGUGGGGAAUUUUGGACAAUGGGCGAAAGCCUGAUCCAGCAAUGCCGCGUGCAGGAUGAAGGCCUUCGGGUUGUAAACUGCUUUUGUACGGAACGAAAAGCUUCGGGUUAAUACCCUGGAGUCAUGACGGUACCGUAAGAAUAAGCACCGGCUAACUACGUG